rnacentral:rRNA from 1 species
UACGUAGGGUGCGAGCGUUAAUCGGAAUUACUGGGCGUAAAGCGUGCGCAGGCGGAUUGUUAAGCAAGAUGUGAAAUCCCCGGGCUUAACCUGGGAAUUGCGCUUGAAACUAGCAGGCUAGAGUGCGGCAGAGGGGGGUGGAAUUCCACGUGUAGCAGUGAAAUGCGUAGAGAUGUGGAGGAACACCGAUGGCGAAGGCAGCCCCCUGGGUUGACACUGACGCUCAUGCACGAAAGCGUGGGGAGCAAACAGGAUUAGAUACCCCAGUAGU